CCUACGGGCGGCUGCAGUGGGGAAUAUUGGACAAUGGGCGAAAGCCUGAUCCAGCCAUGCCGCGUGUGUGAAGAAGGCCUUCGGGUUGUAAAGCACUUUCAGUGGGGAAGAAAGCCUUGGGGCUAAUACCCUCGAGGAAGGACAUCACCCACAGAAGAAGCACCGGCUAACUCCGUGCCAGCAGCCGCGGUAAUACGGAGGGUGCGAGCGUUAAUCGGAAUUACUGGGCGUAAAACGCGCGUAGGCGGUCUGAUAAGCCGGUUGUGAAAGCCCCGGGCUCAACCUGGGAACGGCAUCCGGAACUGUCAGGCUAGAGUGCAGGAGAGGAAGGUAGAAUUCCCGGUGUAGCGGUGAAAUGCGUAGAGAUCGGGAGGAAUACCAGUGGCGAAGGCGGCCUUCUGGACUGACACUGACGCUGAGGUGCGAAAGCGUGGGUAGCAAACAGGAUUAGAUACCCUGGUAGUC
rnacentral:rRNA from 1 species